rnacentral:rRNA from 1 species
GAGAGAGAGACAUGCGCGCAUAUCAAUAAGCGGAGGAAAAGAAGCUAACAAGGAUUCCCUUAGUAACGGCGAGUGAAGCGGGAAGAGCUCAAAUUUGAAAUCUUCAAGGUUUUACCUUGACGAAUUGUAGUUUAAAGAAGUGUUUUCUGCUGAAGUUUUGGUAAAAGUUCUUUGGAAUAGGACAGUCAUAGAGGGUGAGAAUCCCGUAUUUGACCAUUAUUUUCAGCUUUGUGAUACACUUUCAAAGAGUCGGAUUGUUUGGGAAUGCAGUCCAAAAUGGGUGGUAAAUUUCAUCUAAAGCUAAAUAUUGGCGAGAGACCGAUAGCGAACAAGUACCGUGAGGGAAAGGAUGAAAAGAACUUUGAAAAGAGAGUUAAACAGUAUGUGAAAUUGUCAAAAGGGAAGCGUUUGACACCAGUGUUGUUUUCUCGAAAAUCAAUUAAAAAUGGCUCGAUUUUGUAUUGUUGAGACCUUAAAAGCUCACUGUACAUUUUUCGUGUCUUUUUUAAUGCACUUUUCGUUUAACAAGUCAACAUCAGUUUCUUUUGUAGUAAAAGGGUCAUUGGAAGGUGGCUUUCUUUUCGGAGAAAGUGUUUAUAGCCUUUGGCCUCUGCAAUCGAAGAGACUGAGGUCUGCAGCGUAGACUCUUCGGGGUUAGAUACAUUUGUGCUAAGUUAUAGCUUUUUAUAGACAACUUGUUGACUAUAAUUAGUCUUGUAGCUUACUCGCUUAUGCUAUUUUACCUACGCUUAGGAUGUUGAGUCGUAGAGCACGCAG